rfam:Devosia chinhatensis strain IPL18 NODE_54, whole genome shotgun sequence.
AGCGGUGACCGGGCCCCUCUGGCGUUGACGGCGACGACCGCAACGCGAUGUCGGAUCACCUCG